rnacentral:rRNA from 1 species
UUAAGCUACUAAGGGCGCACGGGGAAUGCCUGGGCGUCAAGGGCCGAAGAAGGACGUGUAGCGCUGCGAUAAGCAACGGGGAAUCGCGCUAGGGUUGUGAUCCGUUGAUGUCCGAAUGGGGAAACCCGGCUUGGGGAAUGCCAAGUCAGCCACUGGUGAACACAUAGCCAGUGAGCGGGGAACUCGGGGAACUGAAACAUCUAAGUACCCGGAGGAAAAGAAACAAUUCCGUCAGUAGUGGCGAGCGAAAGCGGAGUAGCCCAAACCACACUGGCUUCGGCUGGUGUGGGGUUGUAGGACGAACAAAUAGGUACGAAGUGGUAGUAGAACGGCACUGGAAUGGCCGACCAUAGAGGGUGAAAGUCCCGUACAUGAAACUACAACCUACUGGUUCGUAUCCUGAGUACUGCGGGGCACGCUAACCCUGUAGGAAGCUGGGGGGUCCACUCCUCCAAGGCUAAAUACCCUUGACGACCGAUAGUGAACAAGUACCGUGAGGGAAAGGUGAAAAGCACCCCUGUUCGGGGAGUGAAAUAGAACCUGAAACCGUGCGCUUACAAGCAGUCAGAGCACUAUGCUUACUCUUUCGGGAGUACGCAGUGUGAUGGCGUGCCUCUUGGAGAAUGAGCCAACGAGUUACUCUCAGUGGCAAGGUUAAGGCAGCCAAAAGCCGGAGCCGAAGCGAAAGCGAGUCUGAAUAGGGCGCAGAGUCGCUGGGAGUAGACCCGAAACCAGGUGAGCUAACCAUGGCCAGGUUGAAGCGGGAGUAAUGUCUCGUGGAGGACCGAACCGUUGUAUGUUACAAAAUGCUCGGAUGAGCUGUGGUUAGGGGUGAAAUGCCAAACGAACUUGGAGAUAGCUGGUUCUCGCCGAAAUAGUUUUAGGACUAGCGUCAUACCGUUAAAUGCGGGAGGUAGAGCACUGAAUGAGGUAGGGGCCUAACCGGCUACCGAACUCAAUCAAACUCCGAAUACCCGUAUUCAAGAGGAUGGCAGUCGGACUACGGGAGAUGAGUUUCGUGGUCGAGAGGGAAAGAACCCAGACCGUCAGCUAAGGUCCUGAAGUGGUGGCUAAGUGGCAAAGGAUGUGGGGUUACCGAGACAGCCAGGAGGUUGGCUUAGAAGCAGCCAUCCUUGAAAGAGUGCGUAAUAGCUCACUGGUCUAGUGAUCCUGCGCCGAAAAUAUAACGGGGCUAAAGCCACCCACCGAAGCUACGGAUUUUUUAGCGACUUUGGUCGCUAGGGAGUAGUAGGCGAGCGUUCUGUGAGCAGUGAAGCGAUAGCGGAAGCAGUCGUGGAGCGAACAGAAGUGAGAAUGUUGGCACGAGUAGCGAAAACUAUGUGAGAAUCAUAGUCCCCGAAUAUCUAAGGUUUCCGACGGAAGGUUAAUCCACGUCGGGUUAGUCGGGCCUAAGGCGAGGCGGAAGCGCGUAGCCGAUGGACAACAGGUUAAUAUUCCUGUACUACGUAAGGUUGUUUGAGCGAAGGGGUGACGUGGAAGGGUAAGUUGGCCGGCCGUUGGUCGUGCCGGUGCCAAGCUUGUAGGCGCUGAAGGUGGGGUUAAAAGACCACUUGAGCUGAGGAGUGAUGGCGAGUCCGCAAGGGCAGAAGCAAUUGAACCCAAGCCACCAAGAAAAACCUCUAGUGAGACCUGCGUAACCGUACCGCAAACCGACACAGGUAGAUGGGUUGAGAAUACUAAGGGGAACGGGAGAACCUUCGUUAAGGAAUUAGGCAAAUUAGAUCCGUAACUUCGGGAUAAGGAUCGCCUUGGUAGGCUGAAAGCGCCUAGCGUGCUGGAGGCUGAAGAGGCCGCAGAGAAAUGGCCCUAUCAACUGUUUAUCAAAAACACAGGUCUGUGCGAAGUCGCAAGACGAAGUAUACAGGCUGACGCCUGCCCAGUGCCGGAAGGUUAAGGGGAGGGGUGCAAGCUCCGAACUGAAGCCCCGGUGAACGGCGGCCGUAACUAUAACGGUCCUAAGGUAGCGAAAUUCCUUGUCGGGUAAGUUCCGACCCGCACGAAAGGCGUAAUGAAUGGGGCACUGUCUCAACGAAGGACCCGGUGAAACUGAAAUAGGAGUGAAGAUGCUUCUUACCCGCAGCAGGACAAAAAGACCCCGUGGAGCUUUACUAUAGCUUGACAUUGGGUUAGGACUUAGACUGUGUAGGAUAGGUGGGAGACCGUGAAGCUGGACCGCCAGGUUCGGUGGAGUCGCCGGUGAAAUACCACUCUGUCUAAGUUUUGAUUCUAACCUUACCCGUAAGCCGGGUAGGGGACCGUGUCAGGUGGGUAGUUUGACUGGGGCGGUCGCCUCCCAAAGAGUAACGGAGGCGUGCAAAGGUUCCCUCAGGCUGAAUGGAAACCAGUCGUAGAGUGCAAACGCAUAAGGGAGCUUGACUGCGAGACCCACAAGUCGAGCAGAGACGAAAGUCGGCGUUAGUGAUCCUAUGGCACCGAAUGGAAGGGCCAUGGCUCAUCGGAUAAAAGCUACCCCGGGGAUAACAGGCUAGUCUCUCCCAAGAGUUCACAUCGACGGGGAGGCUCGGCACCUCGAUGUCGGCUCGUCACAUCCUGGGGCUGUAGUCGGUCCCAAGGGUUGGGCUGUUCGCCCAUUAAAGUGGUACGCGAGCUGGGUUC